CGUCGUUUUUUCGAUCUCCAUCGUGUCGAUUCUCUUACUGACUUCACGUGGGUUCUCUCCGUUUCUGUCAGUGCCCAAGGCUGCUGCUGAGCCCACAGCUGCGUGGUGCAGAGCUGAGGAUCACCGUGUCUGUGUGCAGUGCUUCUGUUCCACUUCAUGAUGAGACAGAUCUGAAUUCUGCUCCAGCCCUGGGGAAAAACAACAAACAGCAAGAACCCAAAGGCUUUGAAGCUGCAGACAGAAAGCUGUGCGUACCUCUGCCCAGAUCCCACUGCUGCUUUCCACCUGCUUGAAUAGGAAGCCCCGGGCUUGGAGCAGCCUGCUCAGCUCUGCACGAUGCCCGCGGCGUUCUGCUGCUUGGCACAGCCCUGCCUGACCCCUGAUGGCACCUCCUGGGCCAUGGGAUAUGUUCAGAGCUCCAUUUCCAUGGCAAUGAGCGGCUGCUAUCUGCACAGAGAUGUUACACCUUCACACAGGGCUGCUCUGCACUUGCCUGUGGCUGCUGGCUCGGAGCAGACUGACGCUGAGCUGCACCAGGCCCUGGGUGCUACAGGCUUCUUUCCCUGGGAGCAGUCCAAUUAGCGCUGAUGAGCUGGACGGUAAUUACAGGAGGGUUGAUUACUGGUGGCUGUUGCGGGUGGGGCCAAUUAACGGUGCUGCCAUUGCGCUGGGGAUCCUGCAUUGGUUUCUAGGGGGGAGCUGAGAGUGGGUGGCUCUGCAUGGGGGGAGCAGCCCACGUCCCCACUGCCCUGCAAGGGGAGCCCCGGCCAGCAGGACCCACUCAGUGCUGCUGGCCCCCAUCCUCACCCCUCCUCCUUAACCCCAGCUCUGCAAGGUGCAUUGGUGGCACUGGGACACAUCCAUCCCCUGCUGCAGUUUGUCCCCUGUGCAGAGGGAUGCGUGUUUUGGGGCUCUGCUGUCCCCUGGCGCCUGGCUGUGAUGUGUGACAAACAACAGCUGAG